rnacentral:rRNA from 1 species
UACGUAGGGGGCAAGCGUUGUCCGGAUUUAUUGGGCGUAAAGAGCGUGUAGGCGGCCAUACAGGUCCGUUGUGAAAACUCGAGGCUUAACCUCGAGACGUCGAUGGAAACCGUAUGGCUAGAGUCCGGAAGAGGAGAGUGGAAUUCCUGGUGUAGCGGUGAAAUGCGCAGAUAUCAGGAAGAACACCCGUGGCGAAGGCGGCUCUCUGGGACGGUACUGACGCUGAGACGCGAAAGCGUGGG